rnacentral:lncRNA from 1 species
AGCAAACAAUUAAGGCACAAAUUCAGGUUCUACUCGCACCAAUGGCGUACUUGGGCUGCAUGCUUCGUUCAAGCAGCAUGGCGUAGAUAUAAAAAGCGAAAGAGUGCAGCUGAGCUUAGAGCUCUAGAGAAAAUAAUGAAUGAAACAGAAUCAGUGAGUGGACAAUUGGAUAAAAAUGCAUCAGCACCAGGAUCAGGCUUUUCAGCCUAUGCAGCAAAAUUGGCAGCAAGUAGAAGGGGUCACCACAAGCCAUAAUGAAUGAAACAGAACCUUUAUUGGAUAAAAAUGCACCAUCACCAGGAUCAGGGUUUUCAGUCUAUGCAGCAAAAUUGGCAGCAAGUAGAAGGGGUCACCACAAGCACUCUAGUUCGGA